CACGUAGGGGGGCAAGCGUUGUCCGGAAUCAUUGGGCGUAAAGAGCUCGUAGGCGGCUCAGUAAGUCGGGUGUGAAACCCCCAGGCUCAACCUGGGGACGCCACCCGAUACUGCUGUGGCUAGAGUCCAGUAGGGGAGUGUGGAAUUCCCGGUGUAGCGGUGAAAUGCGCAGAUAUCGGGAGGAACACCAGCGGCGAAGGCGGCACUCUGGGACGGUACUGACGCUGAGACGCGAAAGCGUGGGGAGCGAACAGG
rnacentral:rRNA from 1 species